rnacentral:rRNA from 1 species
AUCGAACGAUGGCGGCCGGCCUAACACAUGCAAGUAGAGCGGAGCGGCGGACGGGAGAGUAAUGCCGAGGAAUCUGCCUGGUAGUGGGGGAUAACGUCCGGAAAUGGGCGCUAAUUUCGCAUAGUAUCAGAUGAGCCUAGGUAGGAUGAGCUAGUUGGUGGGGUAACUGCCUACCAAGGCGACGAUCAGUAACUGGUCUGAGAGGAUGAUCAGUCACACUCGAACUGAGACACUGUCCAGUCUCCGACGGAAGGCAGCAGUGGGGAAUAGUGGACAAUGGGCGAAAGCCUGCUCCAGCCAUGCCGCGUGUAUGAAGAAGGUCUUCGGAUUGUAGAGCACUUUAAGUUGGGAGGCGUUACCAACAGAAUAAGCACCGGCUAACUUCGUGCCAGCAGCCGCGGUAAUAC